rnacentral:rRNA from 1 species
GACGAACGCUGGCGGCGUGCCUAAUACAUGCAAGUAGAACGCACAGUUUAUACCGUAGCUUGCUCCACCAUAGACUGUGAGUUGCGAACGGGUGAGUAACGCGUAGGUAACCUGCCUGGUAGCGGGGGAUAACUAUUGGAAACGAUAGCUAAUACCGCAUAAUAUUAAUUAUUGCAUGAUAAUUAAUUGAAAGGUGCAAUUGCACCACUACCAGAUGGACCUGCGUUGUAUUAGCUAGUAGGUGAGGUAACGGCUCACCUAGGCGACGAUACAUAGCCGACCUGAGAGGGUGAUCGGCCACACUGGGACUGAGACACGGCCCAGACUCCUACGGGAGGCAGCAGUAGGGAAUCUUCGGCAAUAGACGAAAGUCUGACCGAGCAACGCCGCGUGAGUGAAGAAGGUUUUCGGAUCGUAAAGCUCUGUUGUAAGAGAAGAACGGGUGUGAGAGUGGAAAGUUCACACUGUGACGGUAUCUUACCAGAAAGGGACGGCUAACUACGUG